CCUACGGGUGGCUGCAGUGAGGAAUAUUGGUCAAUGGGCGCGAGCCUGAACCAGCCAAGUCGCGUGAAGGAUGACGGUCCUAUGGAUUGUAAACUUCUUUUGUGCAGGAAUAAAGUGAGGAACGUGUUCCUUUUUGUAUGUACUGUACGAGUAAGCAUCGGCUAACUCCGUGCCAGCAGCCGCGGUAAUACGGAGGAUGCGAGCGUUAUCCGGAUUUAUGGGGUUGUAGGGGUGCGUAGGAGUCCUUGGAGAAAGUUUGCAGCUUAACUGUAAAAUUGCCAGUGAAACUGUUAGUCUUGAGUGCAAAUGAGGUAGGCGGAAUGUGUUGUGUAGCGGUGAAAUGCUUAGAUAUAACACAGAACUCCGAUUGCGAAGGCAGCUUACUGGGAUGCAACUGACGCUGAUGCACGAAAGCGUGGGUAGCAAACAGGAUUAGAUACCCGAGUAGUC
rnacentral:rRNA from 1 species